UACGUAGGUGGCAAGCGUUGUCCGGAAUUAUUGGGCGUAAAGCGCGCGCAGGCGGUCCUUUAAGUCUAAUGUGAAAGCCCACGGCUUAACCGUGGAGGGUCAUUGGAAACUGGGGGACUUGAGUGCAGAAGAGGAAAGCGGAAUUCCACGUGUAGCGGUGAAAUGCGUAGAGAUGUGGAGGAACACCAGUGGCGAAAGCGACUCACUGGGUCUCUUCUGACGCUGAGGCACGAAAGCUAGGGUAGCGAACGGG
rnacentral:rRNA from 1 species